UACGUAGGGGGCUAGCGUUGUCCGGAAUCAUUGGGCGUAAAGAGCGUGUAGGCGGCCCGGUAAGUCCGCUGUGAAAGUCGGGGGCUCAACCCUCGAAUGCCGGUGGAUACUGUCGGGCUAGAGUGCGGAAGAGGCGAGUGGAAUUCCAGGUGUAGCGGUGAAAUGCGUAGAUAUCUGGAGGAACACCGGUGGCGAAGGCGGCAUCCUGGACCGACACUGACGCUGAGGCGCGAAAGCUAGGGUAGCAAACGGG
rnacentral:rRNA from 1 species